rnacentral:rRNA from 1 species
CACGUAGGGGGCGAGCGUUGUCCGGAAUUACUGGGCUUAAAGGGUGCGUAGGCGGCCCAGCAAGUCAGGUGUGAAAUCCCACGGCUCAACCGUGGAACUGCGCUUGAAACUGCUGGGCUUGAGGGAGAUAGAGGUAAGCGGAACUGAUGGUGGAGCGGUGAAAUGCAUUGAUAUCAUCAGGAACACCGGUGGCGAAGGCGGCUUACUGGGUCUCUUCUGACGCUGAGGCACGAAAGCUAGGGGAGCGAACGGGAUUAGAUACCCCCGUA